CUUAACUCUUUUUUGUACUUUAAUUAAGGAAAAUGUCUAUUUAUGGACUUACUGAAGAACUAGGUCGGUGAAGUCUAUGAGGCUAAUUAAUCAUAAAAAAUAUUUUGGUUAAUUUUCCUUUUGGUCCGACUAAUAUGGUGCAUGCACAUUAGGUCGGCACCGAAAAAACGGGAGGAGUUAGGUAUCUAAUCUGCAUAUUAUUGAGUCGUAACAAAGAAAUCAUAUGAUAAAGUGAGUUUGUUUUAAAAUUAAUUUUAUUAUUAUUAUUAAUCUAAAAAUUAUUAUUAAUAUUUGGGUGUAGGAUAUAAGUAGGCAUAAAAUAUUUAAUCAUUACAUGUAAAAAAGUAUUUUGAUCAUAUAAUUGUUAUUUGAUUUUUAUUAUUAUUAUUAUAAUUACUUUAUUAUUAUAAUUACUUUAUUAUUAUUAUUAUUAUUUUUCUUAUUAUUAUUUUUAUCAAUAGGAAAAUAAUAUUAAUAAUAAUAAUUAACAAUCAUAAUAUUAUUAACAAAAUAUUUAUUAUUAUUAUUAUUGAUAUAAUUAUUAUUAAUAAAAAUCAUAUUAAUAUUAUUAAUGAUGUUAAUAAUAAUAAUAUUUAUAAUAAUAAUAAAAAUAAAAAUAAAAAUAAAAAUAAAAAUAAUAUUAAUAUUAAUAUUAAUAAUAAUAUUAAUAUUGUUAAUAUUAAUAUUAAUAAUAAUUAAUAAUUAAUAAUUUUAAUAAAAUUAAAAUCAAAAUUAAUAAUAAUAUUAAUAUUAAGUUCAAAUUUAUCUACAAAUUUAAAUCCAUAGAUAAUUAUGAGUAGGUAAGAACAAAUUUUCUUUUAGUGUUAGAGGAUUAUCUUAGCUUACAUCUUCUGACUAAUCACAAAAACAUGUGCGAUCUCUGUUGAACCAUCUUAUAUGUAAAGGUCAUUCUUUUUCACCCCUUAGCAAAUGUAGAUGUUUCCCUUAGAAAUUUUAUCGUUCCUUAUUUAAUCUUGGUUAACAAACCCAUUUUAUCAAACAUGCUUAUUAACAAAAAAUUCCUCUUAAGCUUUAGAACAACCUCAAUUCUUGUAACAAUACCUCCGUGUUAUCAAACAUCUUUAAUUUUGAUAGACUAUAUGCCUUUUACCUUAUUGUUCUCAAUACCUCCGUGUUUUAUUGUUCUCAAGAAGGACUACUCCAUAUUCUUUUAGUUUUUAGGUCAUAAAAAUCUCCUUCACAUAACACAUGUGAUUAGUGCAUCUUGAGUCCGUGAUGGAACUUCUUUGUGUAUCAUAUGCAAAUUCCUCCAACACCCAUACAAAAUCGUAGCUAUCAAACACUACCACAACAUCAACAAAUUUCUUCAUGAAAUGAGUCUCCUUACAUUUCUCAUUUCUCUCAUUUUCUAGAAAACUCGACUUGAAGUUACCUUUCUCGUGGCAGUUCCAAAACUCAACUUCUACCAUAUCAUCUAACAAAUAUUGCUUUGACUUCCUCCCUUUAAACUCCUUCUUUUUCUUUCCCAUCAACUUUGAUACAAUCAAACUCAAUCCAUUAUCAUUUCCUUUAAACUAUUGAAACUUUUGAAGCGCCUCAGUCUUUAUUGCGGUUCGCAUCUCCUCAAGAGUAAUGGUAUGUUCCAUACCAAAUAGCAAAACAUCUUCAAAAUGUUCAUAUACAUCUUAGACAAAACAUUAAGGAGAAGUAAAGUUUUAUCCUCAUCCUUAAGUUUUACCUCAAUGUUAUUCAGAUAGUCCUUAAUUUUGUUAAAAUCCACUUGCUGCUCCAUCAUCAUUCUUAACAUAGUCAUCAUGAAUGAAUAUAGUUCUUGAUUUAUAUAAAGUUUGUGUCGAAGACUUAAUCAUUAACAAUGACUCAAGUUUCACCCAUAUCGACGCGACAAUUUUUUCCAUAACGACUUCCUUCACCUAAGACACAAAAUUAUGACAUUUUUGGCUUUGUUGAUCAUGUCAAUCUUAUUCCUUCAAGACAUCAAUGCUAACAUAUUCGUCUCAUCCCUUAAAGCAUCAGUAGAACCUUACUAUAUCAAGAUGAGAUUCAUCUUAAUUCUCAACAAUCCAAAUUCGUUCUCCUCGAAAAACUUUUCAAUGUAAAACUUGUUAGUCAUAUCUUCAACUUAUGGAUUUUCUUUUCUUUGUUCCCACAAACAACGACAAUUGUUGGGUUUAGAACAAUAAUAAAACAAGAAACACAACAAUAAGAUUGAAAGAAAAUACUUUUAUUAACACUAAAAGGUUUAAGGCACAAAAAACUUCACAAGAUGCAAUAUAAUGUUUAUAUACACAAUGACCUCCAUAUAUAGAACCUAAAAGUCAAAACAAACAAAAAAUUGUUAAAGAAAAAUCAUUAAGACCGUUACAACAAAAUGCACUAGACAUACGGUCUAAUUAGUCUUAACACUAUUAGAUUGCCUCUAGUAUACAAUUUUCUAUUCCCUUCAAUCAGAUGUUGAUAUCAUCUAAUUGAACUUUUGAACAAAGCGUAUGAUUAAUAUGAUUUAGAGAUAAUUAUUACACAAAAUAAUAAAACAAGGUUUUCAUUAUUUACUAUAAUAAACGUGAAAGAAAAUAUUAAUUAAUAAAUAAAUUACAUGUAACAUUUAAUAAUACUAAUAAUUUUUACUAAAACUUAUGUUUUAGUUUUAAUAUUUUUAUGUUACAUAAAAAAUUACUUGAAAAUAAAAGUAAUUAAAAAAUAUGUCGUGUUCUACCUUUUUUUCUUCCUAACCAAAAUCAAUACGAAGCACGUUUCUCUCGCUUAAUUCUUUUCUUUUCUGUCUUCCUUCUCCGACCAAAACUUAUAUCAUAUAUAUUUGUUUGUAGCAUUUGUAAUGUAAAAUGUUUAUUUCCUUAUGGAAUUUUUUUUAUUGUUUUGUUUUAAAUAAUCUAUGUGUGACUACUAAUAGUGCAUCUUGACCAAGUCCAAUGCCAAAAAACGUUUACAUAAUCAAUUACGGUAUGUUUAAAUGUUAUAAACUUGUCGUAAACAAAUGAAAUUUUAUUGAAAUAUAUUAAUUACAAGUUAAUUUUGUAUUUUGUACGACAUAGAAGAUAAUAGUGUAUUCCGUACAUUAAUUAGUAUUGAUUAAUUACAUAAUCAUAAAGUAAAUAUCAUUCAUUGUUAGUUAAAUUAUAUUAUACAAGUUUAUAAGUAAUUAAUAAUAUAUGUAAGAAAACUAUAAAGUCUAGUUUUGGCAAUGAGAAAAGUAGAGCAAUGAUAAUUUUCGAUGAAGAUAAGAAAAACUUUUCUCAGACAUUCUACUAAUUGGAAAAAAAUGAAUGAUGAUUAAAAAUGCAUGUAGAAUAUAAACUAUAAUAUUAAAAAUUGAGAUAAAAGACGACAACAAUUAUAGAGUAAGAUAUUUAUUUUCUGUUUAAAGGAACAAAUGCGAAAGAAUCAUCAUAUUUAACGUGAAAAAAGUUUUCUUUGAUGUUUUAGAAUUACACGUAAUUUCAUAUGAAAAACACUCACGCGAUGAAUAAAACACAAUUCAUAAUAAUAUAAUAAAAUUUAGUCGGCAGGGACAAGGCGCAAUCAAAUUUUCUUUAAAACUAUUUAAUAAAAAAAAUUAAACUCUUUAACCGUAUUCAUUGAGUCCUAAUUAAUUUUCCUAACAAAAGUUCUAAAGUAAUAUUAUAAUUAAAUACAUGAAAUCCAUAUUAAAGAUGUAUUAUAUAUAUAAGUCGUGAUAGGGUGACAAAAACUAAAAGAUGACAUUGCACGUGAUACCCUAAUUUUCUUUAUUAAUAUUCAAACUAUCUUAAUAUAUAUAUUUGUAUCUUUGACAUUCCCCUAAUGGUACAAAAAGAAAUGUUUAUUUAAAGUUUGUGUUGUUAAUUUGAAACUUUUAAGAAUGCAAAAAUAAUUCACAGACAUUUUCAUUCUAACCACACCUACUGAGAAAAUGAGAAGGUGUGAUGAAAGAGCAUCAGAAUAUAGGGAUAAAGGUAAAAACAAAUUAUUCUUGUUGUGGAAAGAGAGAAGGGAAGCAGAAAGAGGUUUUCGUUCUCAUUUCCAUGAACUUUCGAUGAGGGACCCAGCAAAUUUGUGAUUAAAAGUGACUGUCUCAUCCCACAAAACCCAUGCCUCUUCUUCUUCUUCUUCUUCCUCACUCCUAUUCUCUCCACAUGCCAACCAAACCAGACCUUCAAACACUUUCUAACCAACUCAUCCACCAUUAACGAGUUGACAAAGAUGAUGUGGAAGAUAAGAAUUCUGCAAGCAGUAGUUGCAGGACUAACGUACUUGCUGGCCUUGUUAACCAAAGUGGUGGAGAGCCAAAAGGGUGGUCCUCCUCAGCAGAAGAGUGCGGAGAAGUCAGAGAGGGAGGCGAAUGAGAGGUUUGGUCUGAGUUGGAGGGUGGCGGUGGAAGCAAACAAUGUGCGUCGAUGGCGAACGGUGCCACCUCAGUGCUACCACCACCUUCAGAACUACAUGUGUGCAGGACAGUACGAGCGUGACCUAAGCCUCGCCGUGGAACACAUCCUCCUCUAUGCCUCUCAGAUUCCUCUUUCCCCUGACGGCAUGGACGCUUGGAUUCUUGAUGUUGAUGACACUUGCAUCUCCAAUGUUUCUUACUACAAAACCAAGCGAUUUGGGUACGUAACUCACUGUCUUUUGUUCUUCCAUUUACACCACUAACUAAUCAUUAAUGGUGGACUCAUAAUGAUGAAUAAAACCUGCAGCUGCGACCCUUUUGAGUCUUCCACAUUCAAGGCAUGGAUUAUGAAGGAAAUGUGCCCUGCAAAUCCUGCUGUCAGAUUAUUGUUUAACGCCUUGAAAGAGAGAGGCUUCAAACUCUUCUUGCUAACCGGAAGAGACCAAGCAACUCUCUCUGCAAUCACCACUCACAACUUGCACAAUCAAGGCUUUGUUGGCUAUCAGCGUCUCAUUCUGAGGUAUUCUUUCAUCAAUCGUCAUGUUCACAUGUAUUUCACUGUCAUAUACUUGCAAGAAGAGCAUAAUCUAUGAAACAAUUUCACACGCUUCUUCUAACAAAUUUAUGGAAACACAGUCAAAACACUGACAUAGCACGUUGGUUACAAUUUAUUUCAUGUACUUGUUUAUGGAUAGACAUGAUGACAUGAUGCAUGUGUGUGUAAUCUAUUAACUGAUAAAUGUCUCACUCGUAUGAUCCUUUUUUUUAUUAAACUUACGAUAGAAAACAUAGUUUUCCAAUUAUAUUAAAUGGGUGAAGACAGAGAGAGGAUAAAAGAGAUGGCGUAAUUGAUGGCGUGACGAGGAUUCCAAUUAUUUGUUGACCUCUGCGUAACUUCCUAGAAACACUCCUCUCUUCCUUUCCCAAAAACAUGUUCUUUGGUCAAACUUUCUUCCUCCAAUAGUACCCCACCACAUGCAUGCUGUUUCCAGUUUUAUUAACUUAGAUACACUUAAUAAUACUAAUUAUAUCUAUCAUUUUAACUACCUAUGUUUAGUCUUUAUUAAUUUCCAACCUUAACUCUUUUUUGUACUUUUAAUUAAGGAAAAUGUCUAUUUAUAGACUCACCGAACAACUAGGUCGGCGAAGUCUGAGGAUAAUUAGUUAUACAAAAUAUUUGGUGCAUGCACAUCAGGUCGGCAACUGAAAAACGGGAGGAGUUAGGUAUCUAAUCUGCAUAUUGAGUCGUAACAAGAAAUCUUAUGAUAGAGUGAUUUUGUUUUAAAAAAUAAGCAAAAAACAUGUUUUUUUAUUUAUUUACAGCACAAAUAGACAGUUAAUUUAAGGAUAGGAUGACGAGGAUUGCAAACACAUGUCUAGCGUGGUGGUUGACAAAGUCCAUUGUCCUAGCAUUGAAACUUUCAUCUUUUCUGUUAUUUACAGCUAGUGAUACAUGACACUGCAUUCAAUAAUGAGAAAGAAAAAAGGACAUGGAAAAUGUGCAGAGAUGGUGCAUUUCUGAGUCCAUUUUUUCCACUGGCAUAGGAUUCUUUUCAUAUAUAUCCAAACUCUUCCAUUGCCACCUUCCACAUAAUUAAUCCCAUCUGCAUAAUUCGUAUAAUUACUAAAUUUCACAAUCAUAUCACAUCAUCAUGCAACCAGCACUUAAGCACAGACACCAAGCCAAUAAAUGAAAAAUAUUAAUUUCAUAGGUGGUUUUUAUUAAAUGAACAAAAAAUUUGACCAUGAUAUAUACAUAUGUGAUGACACCAAAUAUAUUAUAUCAAAGUGCAUGUAAUGUCAUGCCAUUAGGAAAGAAAAUAGCACAUUAAAAUUAAUAUCUGUGUUCGAGUGCUUCUGGAAUGUCUAC
rnacentral:lncRNA from 1 species